rnacentral:rRNA from 1 species
UAUGAACGCUAGCGGCAGGCUUAAUACAUGCAAGUCGAGGGACAGCACAGGUAGCAAUACUGGGUGGUAACCGGCAAACGGGUGCGGAACACGUACACAACCUUCCUUUAAGUGGGGGAUAGCCCAGAGAAAUUUGGAUUAAUACCCCGUAAUAUAGUUGAAUGGCAUCAUUUGAUUAUUAUAGCUACGGCGCUUAAUGAUGGGUGUGCGGCUGAUUAGAUAGUUGGCGGGGUAACGGCCCACCAAGUCUACGAUCAGUAGCUGAUGUGAGACCAUGAUCAGCCACACGGGCACUGCGACACGGGCCCGACUCCUACGGGAGGCAGCAGUAAGGAAUAUUGGUCAAUGGACGCAAGUCUGAACCAGCCAUGCCGCGUGAAGGAUUAAGGUCCUCUGGAUUGUAAACUUCUUUUAUUUGGGACGAAAAAGGGCCUUUCUAGGUCAACUGACGGUACCAGAUGAAUAAGCACCGGCUAACUCCGUGCCAGCCGCCGCCGUAACAC